GGCGAGAUGGCCGAGCGGUCUAAGGCGCCAGACCAAGGUAGCUUGUUUACAUAAUCUGGUCUUUCGGGGCGUGGGUUCGAAUCCCACUCUCGUCA